AACUGCUUGGUCGACAUGUUCUUCUUCCCACACACCAACAACAACACACAUCCCAAUGACACUUUUUCUUUUAAACUUCUCUCUUCUUCGACAAUCUCAUUAGUGCAUCGUUUGCAACACUAGGAGUAUAUUCGGGACCGUUGUAACCCCCUCUUUCAUUCCCACUAAGAAUCAAAACUCGAAAGGUUAUAUUUGUCGUACCGAAAAAACAAACCACCAACUUCAUACCGUCUUCCCGGCCACAACCAAUGUUGUUAGUGAAAACCGAGACCGCCUAAGAAAUCCACACAACACCUUCUUUCAUCUUCUAUGUACGAAAACACCAGAAACAUUUGUUGUUAGUUCUGAUCAGCUCGUUCGUCGUUUUUGAAAAACCUACUUUGUUUUUGGAAUAUUUGCGCCGAAACAUUUGAGACGAGAAGAACUAUUAGUUUGCGUGUCAUUCGGAAGUUGACGUCAAACUAUUUCGAGGUUUUGGUGAGACCUUUCGUUGACUUUUGUUUUGUCUCGUCGUUGUCGUUGGUGCUGAAAGUCUCCCUUGAGUUUGGAGCUUGUAUGGAAGCUUUGGAAUGGGGAGCAAAACCCACUCGAGGUGGUAAAGCUAGAUUUGAGUGCAACCAUGAGUGAUGAAUGAGAAAGGACUUGUCCUCUCUGUGCUGAAGAGAUGGAUUUGACGGAUCAGCAAUUGAGACCAUGCAAAUGCGGCUACGAGCCAGGGACUUUGUUUCUCAAAGAUGUUUUGAUUGUGGCUUAGAGAAAAAGAGCAGCUCAGGGCGGAGAUGAAAGUUGUGUUUUCCAGGGAAUGGGGGAGGCAAUAGUCAAAUUUCAUUCAAGUUAUAAUUUUUAGAGGGCACCAACCAGUUUAGUAGGAUAUGAUUUUGGGGAGGAAAAGCGAAUUCCUCACUGAUGUGAUAGAAUAAUGUAUCGUGAUACUCGGGCAGCUGCCGUGUCCUCAAUUUUACAGUAUGGGACAUUGUAUGACAUCAGAUUUUUGAUCCAGAAUACGAGAUCACUUCUGAGGGGCAGUCUAUUGUCAAGACUCAUGGAGAAGCACUGGAUUAUAUCCGAAGAGCUGCACUUGGGCUUUCCUAGAUGGCUUGAGGUACUUUAUAUUUUACUUGGUUAUUUAUGUUACUUUUGUAGGUUAGCUAUUGUAAGAAAAUACAUAUAAUAAAAAGAUAAUAAUAACAUAUAA